rnacentral:lncRNA from 1 species
ACACAGAAACAGAAAGGAAACAGAAAAACAGCAGUCAGAUCCCUGAGACAGAUGUCCACUUCAUAACUACUCCAUCAUUCUGAGAACUUACUGGCUCUGCUGUUCGUACAGAGAGCCAUCAGUUUGAUCUGGUAGAGGCUAAAUUUUACUAAUGUGUUUAAAUACUGUGCUAUUUUAUUCACAUCUUUGUUUGACGGAGGAUUGGUAAUAUUUUAUUCACAUGCUUAAAUUUGACAAAAAUAUGACAAACGAUGAUGCAGUGUCCUUGUAUUGAAAGACAGAAGGGACGGCAGACCUGUUUGAUGUUGUCUAGGUAAAAGGAUUUGUUGCUCAUUGUCACAUCAUCAAUGAUCAGAACAUAACCUCUGCGUUGGAUUUCUCAUUACUUCAUCUUCCAAGAGCCUUUCUGAACGUGUGUGUGUGUGAGAGAGAGAGAGAGAGAGAGACCUAGUUUAUGAGGGAGGAGGCUGACACAGAGAACAUCACCAACAAAGCAGAACAGUAUGGGAUGGUGUUUCACGCUGAAAAAAAGGAAGCUCUGUUUUCUCUUUUCACACCCUUAAAACACUUCAGCAACACUUAGUGCUGCUGAUUAGUUUUAAUGUGGUGAUAUCACCUUGUGACCUGGAACAUGACUGAAAGACACUGUAGUAGAAUUUAGACUUUCAACUCUACCUGCAAUAUCCAAAAAAAGAAAAAAAAGUUUGCUUGAUGACUUUCAUGGACUUGAAUUUCACAGAAACAAAGCUGCUCCAGGCUGAGUCCCAAAAUGUAAUUUAUGUCUUCUGUUUGAACAUCAUACAUGGACACUUUGCAUGGCAGGAUUUAUAGCCAACAGUGGCGUUUGUACCCACUGUGAACACGUCUCCAGUUUCAUGUAUUUAUAGCAGGAAUAUACAGGCAGUCAUGUCACAAAUGUGACUCUGUUUUUAUGAGAUGUUGUCCUGCGUGGAGCUCAAAGAGACACAUUCAACGUUGCAGAGCUGGUGUUUGUGAGGAGUCUCAUCGAUUGUCCUCUCUUUGGGGAAAUUACAUAAAUCUAUCUUAUUACAGAGAGAGAAAUGAUGCUGCAGAAAUGGACACUCACAUCGUGUUUGUGGGUGAAGAUUUGGGUGGAUCCGCAGAAGCUCUGCUGGUCACCAAAACACAGUAGUCCUAUAGUGAACAUUCACAGCAGCAGAGCAAAAACAAAGACGUAGAAAGUUAUGGGAAUAACAGGGUUAUGUAACUCACAGUAAAAGAGGGGGGCAGGCUGCUGCUCAUACACUAGAACAAGGUUAAAACACUCCCGACCAGCAGCUGAGGGUUGUAAAAGCCAGAGUCAGGGUCAGAGGUGAUGGGCUGCUGUUCUAAAUCCAUAAAGUAACAGUCUCCCUGGUCAUCAUUCACACCAGGAUCUCACAAGACUGGCAGCCAUGAGGGGGAAAUAAAGUGGGGCAGGUAAAAGCUGCAAGGACUUCAGCAACAACACCUUAGUCUGAAGAGAAAGAGGAGGUGUGAUGGGGAGAUGAAAAGCUUAACUUAACAUCUGUGUAAACCUGUUUAUUUAAAGAGAAACACCAUGAUGAAAUCUAUCAAGUUAUUGCAGUAAUUUUAAAAUACUUGAAAAGAGAUUGCAUUAGUAGGGGAUAAUACAUCAUGAACAAGUAUGUAUGGAAACCAAGUCAUUCUAGUGAUGGGAAGAACAGUUCCUUCGACUGUACUGAAUCUUUAGAAUCCGUUCAUUAAAAGGAUUCGAUCAAAAGAUUUGUUCACUGAAUCAGUCAGUGCUUCGGAGCCCCGCGCUUCACAGCCGUGAGUUCGUUCAUUGAUCGAGACCCUCCCCUCUCCCCUGCUUCUGAAGUCACAGCGUCGUUCACUGGGUGACACAUGUCAUUUAUUUGCCAAGUCCUGAGGGAAGAAUCACUCCCCUGCCCUGAAAAACUCACAUCUUUGUGUAUCGCUGUCUGCGAAAACAACAGAGCAGCAAGCAGCACGCUCGCUAAACAAACAAGAGUCGUCGUUCUUUUAUAUCGCAGGAAAGUGGAGUGAUUAAAAUAAGUAAACAUCGAAGCUGUAGCUGGGAUUCUGCUACGCUUAAAGAUAUCAAAUAGCGUAUUGCUUUAAAUCGGCUGAAGUUAAAUAUUUCUUGCAGGAAAGUUUAUUCACGUGUAUUAAUAUAAAGGCACUAUAAUGCGCUGUUUUAUCUCAGUCUCAGUGAAUAAAGCGGUGUUCAGCAGUAAGUGAACGACACUACACCCCCUCCCUCCUCUGCCUGCAUCAAGUCAUUUGGAAGUAGUUCAUUUCAUUCACUGUGUCGUUCACUGACUGACUGAAUCAUUCCGUUCACUGACUGAUACAUAUCGUUCAUUCGCUGUGAGUGAAUCACGAGUCUCCGCCCGCUCGCUGACUGGCUGUGUGUCGUUCGCCAGAGUCAGAGUCGGCCGUGAAUGAAUCAGAUCUCUGAGUUAUUCAGUUCAUACCGUUCACUCAGCAGUUCUGUCCUUUUGAACGAAACGUUCAUGAACAACGCAACACUAAGUCAUUCAUGUUUGGUGAAAAAUACAGACUAAAAGACCCACUGUGAUGAAAGUUAUGUUUUUCUUGUUGUCUAUAGGUUCAUAUGAUACUUUUAUGUUGCUAGAAGACAUACAAUGAGAAAACUAAGUGCAAAAUUGCAUCUCUGAGUAUUUUUGUAUUCAAAUUGCUGUGAACCUCUAGCAGACCCAAAUGUCAGGUUCAGACGCUGUAGGAUUUUCUACAAACCUAUGCUCCACCCCCCCGGCUCCCCUCUCUGCUGGCCAGACCCCAAGAAGUAGAGAGGAUGAUGGCCGAAGAGGCGUGUGCAGUAGCGGACUGCAAUUCUUGUAAGAAAGCUAAUUAUGAUAUAGGCUUUGAUCAUAUCCCCAAAGACAUUCAUGUGAGAGCUGCUCCUUCAACUACACCGGCAAUCAGGGGACAAUCCUUUUGCACUGCAGACGCGGUUGUUCUUCUGCCUUAGCGUCUCGGUCUGAUUGCAUUUCCAUGAACUAAUAAUCAUAAAUGUUCUUCCUUGAGCUGCAAAACCCCGAUUCUCUCUUUCUCCUGAGUCUCACCCUCCUUCAGCACACUGUCAGAUAAAGUAAUAAAAAUACUUGUCUUGCUGUCUCAUAAGCGGAAAGCACAUGAGCCUGAAACAAAACCUCUUAAAUUGUAAUUAUAUCAUCAUCAUCAUCAUCAUCACCCUCUCUGCCUGGACCACAUUCUCUCCCGUGAGGCCCAACAGGACAGCAGUAUUUUCUAAUGGGCAAAGCUUUGCUUUCCCAGGUUGCUGGGUGUCUUUAAAUGCCCCUGCAGAUGAAUCAAUCAGAGGGAAGAAAAGAGCUCUUUUUCCUCAAAGUUCACUCCAGGACUCGGACCGUCAUGUUAAUGAUGUUUGUGUAUUUCUCUCCAGGCCCCAGCCUGACUCUGUAAAGGAAGCCACAGGUCAAAGGGAGAUGGAAAGGCAUUAGUGAAAGCGAGUGUGAAGACCGUCUCUGGAUCGCACUUAAUUUUAAUGGGAAACAAAUUACACAGACAGCUCGAAUGAAACGGAAAUGCCACAUAAAGCUGAACAUGACUUGGUUUGCUAACUUGUAAUUGGUUUUGGGGGAAUGUAAACAUGAAGUUUAUGAGUGAUUUCAUCUGUGUGUGUCCAAAUGUGUGAGGGUUUGUGUGCGGAAAGAAAUAUUUGUAGGAUCAGAGUCAAGUCCAGAUAUUAAUGUUCAAAUACUGCAAUAUUUAGUGGAAAUUAAACCAAGAGGGAACAGUGAUACACACCAUUAAAUCCUUCUGUGAUGCCCUGAGAGAACGCUUGGAAUAGGAAUUUGUUUUCCUCUGGGAGGUUUUUGCUUGGCUUGUUAUUUGUAGCAGGGAAUUAAAACUGUGCCUGUGAGGUUUGCCUCUCCCGUAAGACAUUAGGCAGACACAUGUUGUGGUUCUGAGGCAAUAAAAGAGAAGCAGGGGAGAGAAAAUGAAGCAAAAUCCCAAAUGUCUUGUGCAAAAUUGUUCCUUUUUAUAACUGAUGUGCAAAUAACUUUGAAUGCAACACUAUUUUUAAACUGUGUGCAGCAAUAGGUUGCACACCAGUGUCUAAAUAAGACAUUUGUAGACACAAAUAUGCACAGCACACCAUAAAUGCCCAGAGUGAAGUCUGUUACGUGCAGUUGCGCAUGUGUUUGUAUGUGGGCAGCUGUAUCUGGGUGCUCACAGUUUGACAAAUGGGGCCUGAAAUUAGGUGGUGAUAUAAAUAAAUGUCCUAUCGUUGCAGUUUAAUCCAGAGCACAUCUUACAGUCUGUAUGCUGAGUGGGCUGUUUAUUUGCUGCUUAACAAACAAUAAUGUACAGGUACAAGCCAGAUUGUUGGGUAAACAUAAACCAGGGUUACAAAUCUGAGUUUACAGAGUUUUAUCAUUGCUACAUUACAGUUAAACAAAUCUGAACCUCACUUCUCUGCACUCUGUGAAAAGAAGAAAAGCUGUCUUCAAAAGAAUUUCUGUACUCCACUAAUUUUGUUCCACUUUGGUGAGAGCCAUAUGUUAUCAACAGAAGGUGAGGGUGCUCGUGGGAAAUGCAGUCUUCAUUUGGAAUUCACCACAGAUUUGAUCCAAAGGGGUUAACAGAAUAAGCACAUCAUGGAUGAUCUUCACAACACUUUCAAAGGAAGAUUCUAGUUGGCCAGAUCAGCUUGGUUUGUUAUUCCACGAGGUGUUUACAACAUUUAGUUGUGAAUGAGACUAGCAGGACACUGCCAAAGGCAUCGGGAACUGUCAACCAGAAAAUUGGUGCUGUGGGAACCAACACAUGGGCAUCGGUCAAGAGGACGUCCUACACUAUCAUACUUGGACAUACUCAAGAAGGAUGCAGGAGCUCAGAGUACCAACGGACUGGUGAGAUGUAUGGAGAAUCGGGGUGACUGGAAGCGACGAUGGAAGGCUCGCCUGAGGACGACCCAGAGAGAGAGAGAGAGAGAGAGAGAGAGAGAGAGAGAGACAGCCACCAUUAACAACAAUAAGACAGGGUUGUCAAUGGAAACGCUGAUGGCACGCUCCAUUUUGCCCACUCGCAUUACACUUUCAACAUGGGAACAUUUAACUGCCAUAUGCAAAUCGAACAACAGUAACAAUGGCUGACACAUUAUUCAUUCAUUAUCAUGAGAAAACGAUCUUUGUUAUGUUGAGAUAAUGAGAUAAAUCAUUAUCACGAGAUAACAGUAAUAGAAAAAAAUCCAUGGCUGUUUUCGUUUUCUGCAUUUAUGUGAAAUAGAAGCCCCCUCUGUAUUUUUUCAGGGUCUUGCUUAUCCUGUUGGGAUUUCAAUCUGCAUAAUUAGCUGCUUACUCUGCAGUUUCCCCUCUAUAUUAACAAAAUGCUCACUUACAUGAAUGUUUCACAUGACAAGCAGGACAUUUUGAGCUGACAGGCUGAGUCUGUGAAGCUGAUGUGAGAGUUAAAGUGUGGCAGUAAAAUACUGUUAACUUAAAGUCUGAGUACAGCGGAUAUGUUUUUGGACAUUGACAUAUUUCUAAAGAAAUAAAACAGCAAGGUCGUGUUGCUAUUUUUCCAUCGACCACACCGUGUUCUGCACUCAGUCACCAAAAGCUCUUGUCGCUCUUACCACACGCUGAGUUAAUUGAUCUGGGAGUUGUUCUUCGUCACUGAGAACUCUGCAGGCUGGAGCCUGGUCUAUUUCUGUCGUUUUUCUAUGAUGUCCAACAAAAUAUUUUGAUGUUUAGAUUUUCCAGCUAUGCGUGAUUGAUUGCUCAACAGUCAACUGAGGGUAAAAAUGGACAUUGGUCCACACUUCCUCAGAAUAUGUAUACGAUAUAUGCAUAUAGACAGAGCUGCGGCUUUCCCCAACAUGUACCUUGCAGUUGCAUAUUGGGUUUCAUUGCACAGAUGCCCACUCGGGGAAACAGAUGGAGGUUUGUCAUACAAACUGAAAGAUCUACCAAAUGUUUGUUUGAGCUGCAGCAGUGGAUCAUCUCUGCUACCUCUGCUAUCAAACCCAGCAGGGCCGUCUUCCAUCAGACAGGGCUCUCUGUACCAGCAGAGAACCACUCUCCUGUUCCCCCGCCUUUAUUCAUCCAGUCUGCCUGUGACCGGAGACAGCUCACCUAAUGUAACCCGUGAAGCUGAUGAAUCGCUGCUUUAAAAAGUACAACUAAAGUGGGUUUGUGCUUUUUAAGUGUGCGGUGACGCUGCAUGAGGGACAGACAGGCUGGCUUGUCAGAGUCUGGUGGGUAGGAAACAGUGUGUGUUCUGUAUGGUGUACUGUGGGACAGUGUGUGUGUUUCACCAUGGAAACCUGAAGUAUGAUGUCAGGUCUGUGGGUGAAAGGCUGGUUUUACUGCAUGAUUGACAAGGCUGCAUGUGUCUGUACCAGGUCGGUAAUGGAUGGUAAACAUAGAUGCAUUUUGAUACACAGACAGCAUUCAUUUACAUUAACCUGUCACUUCACUUAUGCACACGUACAAAAAGGUUUUUGAUGGUGUGAGAGAGAAAUGAACAUUUUUCCAAGGCCAGAGAGAAGAGUUAUAAAAAACAGCUGUAUACAUUUUCGUAGUGAUUCUUCUGAAUUAAAUGAUGUGUGAGUCAGUCUUCUCUUUAUAUUCAUUUUUUUGUGUCUAUAAACUCAUGAUGUAGCAGGAGGCCUGGUGUCCUUCCUUCAAAAGAUUUGAAAUCAUCGCUGUAUGAAACACCACUUCCUGUCAUAACUCACUGCUGCUCGUACAUCAUUUUAAUGUGUGUCUGAGGUCAGUCCAGCUCUAUCACAUAAUACUGUGUUUCCUGUCAGUGGUCUGAGAUCUGUCAGAGACAUGCUGGCUAAACUUCACUUUCACAUCUCCUUAAUCCGGGAGUUUGGAUCAGAACAGCCUGAAUGUUUGGGUUACAUUUGACACGGGCAUCAUGAUGUGCCGCCUGAGCUGCUUGUUUGCUUGUAUGUGUUCUCUGUUUGCAUGUGGGUAAUUCCUGGUUUUUAACAUUGUUUAUUCAUCUUAUUUAUAAAUUGGUACUUUUGUGGAUUUAGUUGAGCAUGUGCAGCAAACUGUUGUGCUGUUGUCCUGUAUUUGGCUCUUAGUUUCUUGAAUAUAAAAUAUUAACUGUCAGUGGUGGUGAUAGUUUGCUGUGGAACUAUUAAAUAUCAAAGUACCCUGCUCGUGCAGCUUCAUUGUCUGUGAAACAGAUCUUCAUAAUCCAAACUGAACCAACCCUAAUGCAAAAGAACUUUUUUUUCUUUGACUCAAGGGAGAAACUUUCUCUGUGCAUGAGGGAAACACCAGUUUAUAGCUUUUUAAGGCAUAUAUCAAAUGUGUAGGCCUGAAAAUGUGUGUAAGAUUAUGGAAGCGCCUUUUUCCUAAAUUUUGAGAAGUUCACUGUUUGCAUGGGUCCCUCAGAAGGUGGAAAAGGAGGAGUAAAAAACUUUGUACUGGCAAAAGAGAGUUUAGGCAGUUUCAGUUUUUUUUUUAUAUAAAUAUAUUUUUAAUCGAUCCGGUUAUGUUGCUAAAAACUGCAGUACUUAUGCAGUAUUUAAGUGUCCACUUUUAAGACUGUCUCCAAAGGCCCCAGAGACCCUGUUAGCAACCAUGUUAUAAUGCCUGUCUUUAGAGUCUAAAUUAACAUGUUUAAAGCCGAGGACUAAAAUUGUUUUUGGUCAGAAGAAAACUCUUCUCUCUUUUUUUUGUAAACACUGUGCAACAAUGUGAUUUUUUUUUACAACUUGUUUAUUUUGAGGAUAUUGGGGUCACAAGUUUUGUAUAGUUCAGCAUAAUUACAGACCCGGCUGACUUGACUGACAGAUAGGCAUGCUGUAGCCGUUAGCAUCGAGGCUAAAGGCCCUCCUCAAUGCUCCCUCUAUGUCUCUUGCAGACUCAACAAAAAGUUACAUUGAGUAUAUUUCUUCAAUCUGGAGACCGCCAUCAUUGGGCUUGAAAACACCAUCACAGAAACCAGUGAUAGGGACGUCACUGAGACUACUGUGUUUUCAACAGUUUACAGUGUUGCAUCAUCUACAACAUCGUCCCUAACCCUCUUGUUAUGGUGAAUUUUACCCCAAAUCUUCAUGAGUUCACUCGGACUCUGACUUUUUUUUUUUUGGAUGGUCAAAGUGAAAUUCGGUCAGUCAUACAGAUGAAGAUUAAUAGUUUUGGUUGUGUGUCUAAAAACCUGAUGAACUUUUAAGGGAUGAAGAGGGGAUAUGAGCAAGUUAGAUAUGAGGUUAACAGAUGAUUCUUCAAACAGGCACUCAACCAUCCACUCUGAGGGCUGUGGACUCUAUAAUGACAGUGGCAAAUGUCAUUGUUAGUCAGUUAGUAUUCACACCUAAAAUUACUAUUAGAAAUUAAUAAAAUUAGUAUUCAGAACCUAAAAUUGUUGUUAUCAAAGGAGUAUUUGGUGAUCACAAACAGAACGCUGCUGCUUUGGAGUCUCACAGUAACCCACAGUGGUUUCAACUGAAUAUGAAAUCAUUGCAUUACAUAACUUGAUAUUGCCGUCCCGUGUGCGAACUUUGCUUGUUUGAGAAUGUUACUUUUCCUUCGAUCUGAUUCACUGAGCCAACGUUGAAUGUGUUUGCUCUGUUCAUGAUAAUGGCCAGUGCAUUCUUGCUACAUUUGGAGCUUUAUGUGAGUGUUUAAAACAGCCAGUGCUCAGAUGUCAGCAGACCUCAAGCUGAGGCAGAGCCAGAGCCUUCUGUUCAUUUCAAUCAAGGCUGUAAUCACUCACAAGCAGCAGUGCAGAACAAUGAAAUCCACAAUUACAACCUGGCCUGGAAGAAGUUCACCAGGCUCCAAGAUCCUGGACUUUAUCACUGACUUUUUGUUCAUCCAAGUCCUUUUGUUCAUACAAAGGGUUUUUUUUAAGAUGCACACACACACACAUCUGCUCACAUCUGUGGUGUGUUAGCAUCAUCCCACAGAUGUUUGCACAUAAACUUCUCUGCUCUCUUCCUUAUUGGUCUAUCAUGGUAACUUAAAUAUCCUCAGAGUCUCACAAAAAUUGUACUGCUGCUCCUUCUACUUGUUGCCUAUCUCUACAUUUUCAUUUCUGUCUUUACUUUUCUGUAUGUUGGAUCUGUUCGCAUGACUUCUUGUUUUCCCCAGAGGCCAGGAGACAAACAGUUUUGACUAAUGGAAGCAGAGUUUAAAUCAUGUACGACUACUUUUAGGCAUUUUCGCCUUGUUAGCUUUUGGCUUCACAGUCCAGAAAAGCCCCCCUCCUCUUUUAUAAGCAGAAACAGCAGCUUACAUCCCAGAAACUGUGGGAAACUGCCUUGGUAAAGGCAUGCUACAUAAGGUCAAAGUGCAAACAGCCAUACCACCAAAGGAAUAAGCAGACCCGUCAACAUGUUUUUGUUUGUUUGCCUCAGGGUACAAGUGCUUUUCGGGAUCAAUAUCUCAACUGAAUGGCCAGGGGAGAAAAAUUAGAACACACAAGGUGCUAAGUGGAGGAGGUACCAACCAAAUUGAAGAAAACAGGCAUAAAGAAACCACAAACUUCAACACAGUGUGGACUUAGUAGUUUUCUGGGUUAAGACUUUACAAUUAUGAGAAAGAAUCUUAGACAGCUGCUGCUGUUCUGCAUUGAUAACUUUUUGAGACAUGACAAAUGAGACUACAAACAACUGAAUUUCCCUUCUGGGAUGAUUGAUUCGUUACAGUAAAACAUUUGCUAUUGCUAUUAAUUGGAGUCAACUGUGAAUGAAAAUAGUCAGCUAAAUGUGAACUUGACUCGCGGUCUGAUACGGCAGACUGUCAAAAGUGAGGGACAAUUUUUAAGCACUUUUCGUUUCUCUUCAGCCGCUAUUUCCUAACAACAUGAAUCCUCCAGAAAUGAAGUUUUUUAUGCUGCUGAAAGUCUGAGUACAACAGUACGCUAUAGUCUAACGUUACAAAGAACAGAAUCUUGGAUCUUAAAUGAGUCACCUGGACAAAGCCCAACGUCCAACUAUCAAAGACAAAUCCUGUGUUCAUCUUUUAUGUGUCAAACCAAAACUGAUAAAUCUUGAUAAAACUGGCACGGUUUUGUUUGAACCACAUUACUUAUAUAUCUAGACAUAACACUUAAACAGAUACAAGCAACAACACCUCAGACUUGAUAAGGAACGCAGACAUGUAACCCACAGCAGAGCCAGGUUCUUAACCUGCUCAGAUAUGCAAAAUAGGGAGCUGUGGUAGCAGAAGCCUGCUCAGUAUUCACAUCCACAUGAUGCGGCAUACCUUUAGCACAUGGCAGUCUGUACUGAGGUGCCAUAAAUCCACUGGGUCGCUUUCAUCUGAGAGCGGGGCUAAAUUGACAACAAAUGUUGUCCCUCUUUUCCGCAGCCUCCUUGAGUUUCUGACAAAGUGUUUCCAGAAACUCUGCAAAAAGCGUCACGUCCUGAGGGCUCAUAUUAAUGUUAAGAGAUGUUAAAUAAGCUCAUGUCUGUUUGUAUGAAAAUACAGCACAGCAACAAACAUUCAACUGACUCACAUCUUGCACAACAGUCUGUGUCUCUUUUGGUAAUUGGAUGUAAUGUUUGGAAACAGAUCUCACAAAUAGAAAAACGACUGGUUUGUAUAACCCCAGUCCCAUGUAGCUCGUGAAUACUGACUGAGAAAUGAAAAGGGUGUUGUCACUUAAACCUGUUUUAUACUGAACCAAAAGGUUUUACCUUCAUAAUUACAACACAGGCUUUAGUUCAGCCAAGAAGCAUUAUUCAUUACAAGGUUAUGAAUUAGAUUUUCAAAUGAGUUAACUUGUUCACUGUCGACCUUUAAGCAUGCGCUGAUAACAGGAUUCAAAACUCUCAUAUUAUACUCUGGCAAGUUUGAUCUACAACUGAUCUCUGACGAACCUUAAUAGAAAAUGUAAAAUAAAUUAAAACAGCCCGGGAAACUCGAAAACUCACACCGGGCUAAAAUAAAAGACGUCACAGGCCCAGUCGAUGCUUGUGAGCAACAAACAGCUGCUUCACCGGCUUUAACCAGCGAAAACAAAAAGGCACGUGCAAAGUGUUAAUUGUUCUCACAAAUCCACACAAUCAGAGAUGAAGAUGGGGAAAUACGGGAGCAUGCAGCAAUGCGUGGCGGUAAACCACAUUCAAGUACAGCAGCUACAGUCUCUCUUCCACAGUCCAGGGCUCUCCCGGUUCUCACUCUCUCUCUCUUACGGCAAAUGUCUGUUCCUAAAUCACACAAUUACUCUUCAUAAAUAAGGUACAGGCUUAUUAUUUCAACGUCAAUGCAGACUAAACAGUGUGAAAGCCUACGACAAGGCUAAGCUAAAGGCUAGCGGAUAGACUGCAUAUGUAUAUGAAUUUACCACUGGCAGCCUCUCAAGUUCACACACAUCAGGACGACUCUCUGUCAGUCUUGGAAGUUCGGAGUGUUUUCACGUUACUUUUACAGAUUACAGCUAUUCUGCUCAGAUGCCGAUAAAGCAGACUCUGCUGUCGCUAACGUUAAACCGCUAAACACUAAGCACCUCCUACUUAAACAAGGUAAGGACAGGAUUGACUAAAGAUACAUACAUGCAAAGAUGAGAGAGUAAAGAGAUGUUCUUUUGUGCCGACAACCGAAUAUGAAUGGAUUUUAAAACUAACACCAACCUUUAAACUGUAGAGGAAAUGACUGUUUUUUUAAACAUUUUAUAAUCUAACAUUUUUAACAUAUAUACACUUCAUGAACUAUUAUUUAUUACCAACACAAACAUUUUAAUAUCUGUACAUGAAUGAAUAAAAAUAAUAGCCACAGGGCUAUAUUUGUUUUAAAACAGAAAGACUAACAAUGAAAUACAGCUUGAUUUUCUUUUCUUCUGCCUGGAAUGAGUAAGGAAAAGUUGAAUAAUGGUUUUAUUUUUGAUUUUGAUUUCUAAAAGGAAAAAUGGAAUGUAUGUAGCAGAAAACACAAAUCGUAAAAUGUUUCCAAACGUUAUGUCUAAUUACCAAACCACAGCGAACUUUAUUCUAUCCGAACACGACUCCAGUUUUCAUUUUCUGUGGAUGAAUUUAGAUCCACAAACAGACUAGUGAUACUUUUCAGCUCAAUAAUAAACACAAGCUAAGAGUGUGGUGGAGUUCUGGGUCAGGAACAGGCCCCAGGUGAGUUGGAGGAACAUCUACGGUUAAAUGUGGAGCUUGGAAAGUGAGGUCGGUUUCAUAGGCCCUGCCAAGCAAAUAAACAGUCUGAAGACAUCACAGCGGCAAGACUGGAUUCAGUGCAUUUUUCAGUCCAGCCUCAGGUCCAAAAACUACUUUAAGCAAAGCCUGAGUCCACAGACAUGUGGACUGAAAUCCUCCAGCAGCUGACCGCAGUCCAACUGUGUUAUUUAAGGCUUUGUAAACUCACAGCUUCCAACCGGGCACGAGGUACACUGUCUAUUAAGCUAUUUUUGUUCUGUGUCGACACUGACUCAGGACAGGUCUUUCGGAUAACUUGAUUGAUGAUACUGCAUUUAAAUAGCAUUAAACAGCACACCAGUGCUCAGUAGACUGAGAUAUAAUUCAGCACUCUGUCCUGAUUCACAGACCUACAAGUGGAGGUAAAAAGUAUGUGGGACAAAGGUGUCGUGAGGGAUUUGAGUUUAAGGAUUAAUCAAUCAAGUUUAAAGAUCUGAUUCUCUACAACCUCAACUUCAAAAAAGUCGAGACGCUGUUAAAAAUGUUCAUAAAAACAGAAUUUAAUGUUUUGCAAAUCAUUUAGACCCUUUAUUUGGUGAAAAAUAGAGCAAAGUAACUCAUCAAAUACUGAAACUAGAAGAACAUUGAGUUAAAUGACCUUCUCUUUUAACACCAAAUGUCUGAAACCAAGAAGAUCAGUUUAAAAGUGAAAUGUCCCAUUCUUCUCUGAAUGAACAGUUCAGGUUCUCUUUAUUGUAGUCUCUGGUUUUUCAUACAGCAAAUGUUUUCAGUCAGGACUGCAGGCAGGCUAGUGAAUGCCAGGACUCUUAUUACAGAGCCAUGCUGUUGUAAUCGCUGCAGAAUGUGGUUUGUUAUCAUCCUGCUGAUGAUAUGAAGGUCUUCCCUGAAAAAGUUGUUUUCUGGAUGGCAGCUUAUGUCGCUGUUUUUACUGCUUUAACAGUUGUGUGGCCUUUCCAGUAGAAGCUACCAAUGCCACGAGGACGAAUGCAUCUCUAUACCAUCAGGGGUGCUUACUUUGAAACUGUGCUCUGAUAGCAAACCAGAUGGCACCAAAACGAAAGUCAAAUUUUGAUCAGUCAGACCACAGGACAGUUUUCUACCGCACUUCAAUUAAUCUUAAAUGGAAAGUUAGGAAAGCUAUCAUUGUCUGGAAAUCUAAAGAUGCAGCAACAAACCGUCGUCACGUAUCAAUUUUUUUUCAAGUGUUGAAGGAAUAUUUUUCUAAAUCUGUUGAACUCCCAGUCUUUAAAAAAGGUGUGAGCCUUGUUCCUGUCUUUACUUCAGCCUCUUUAAAAUGUCAUUUAUAUACCCAGGUAAUGUGAACGUAUACUUUAACUUGCAUAGAACAGUGACAAAUAAAUACUGGGUAUAAAUUAUAUUCAAUUAAAGAUUGUUUAUAGAACAGAUGUCAUCUGCCUCCUCCCUGGGUGAAGCCUCAGAGUGAACAGCACCCUCUGGUGACGGGCUGCAGUAUAGAUCAUAAAUCCCGCCUCCUCCAGCAAUCUUAAUGAAGCUGUGGACAAACUUAAGAAAUUAAUGAAACAGAAAAUAAAUUUUUCUCCCCAUUGGUUGUGAUGUUGACAUGUAGUUAUUGUAAGACUGGUUUGUGUUCAAGUCCUCUUUUUUCUCUACAGCUCCAUUUUUAAAAGUUAUUAGGGGGUUCAUGUUUUCUGUGACUGACACUUGAUACAGCCUAUAGGGUUACAAAGAUUACAGUUCACCCGGGGGAUAUGCUGUUUGAGCCGAGCAUCAUCACAGUGACUCUCCCGCUAAAUGUGUACAACGCUACUACUCAAGUGGUGGUUCCAGGAAAUGGAGAAAAUCCCAGAGAUACUGAGAGCAAUUGGACUUCAAAUUUGUAUAAUGACAGAAGGCGGAGCCAAGUUGUCCAUAGUUAUAUACAGUCUAUGUAUUCAACCUAUUAAAAUGUGUUUUUAUUAACAGUUUAUCCAUUUUUUUUUGUAAUCUGGGUUGUACUAUUUGACAUUAUAUGACCUAGCUUGGAGUUGAAGGUGUUAAACUAAUCUCAUAGUGUAGAGAGUAAAUGAUCUUGGACUUUGGAGUUUAGCUAAAGCAUAUUAAUGUUACACAACACAGACACACUCACAAAGUUAAAUUUAGAAAACCCCAGGCUGUAUUGCUGCCAAAGCCUGUAGAUAUACUAAGGUAUAUACUGAUAAACGCAAACUCUAAUAUUCAUCAUCAUACAAGGGGGCUCAGUUUCCACCAAAACACAGUUUUCUCCUGCCAGCGAGAGUGGCAGCAGAAGGAGCAGAAAUAAGCCAAGAACACUGUGUUCAGACUGCUGCAUUACACUCACUGCUACAGAUCAGCUCAAAAACAAAUUACAGCUUGUUGAUGGUUUAAUCUUUGCUGUUAGGGCUCAUUUCCUCACACAGUUCUCCUCCUGCCAGGGCUCUGCCGCUGUAAUGGACAUUUUGCCGCCCGUUUGUCAUUUGUCAUAUGUUGUCAUUUCUUGGAUGAAUCCAGUUCAUUUUGAUCCUGAUUUAAUGACCCAAAUGUUUUGAGGGAAUUUCCUGUCUCAUAUAUUUACGUAAACCAAAUUUUAAUUUCUAAUAUGGUGCAGUGUGUAAAAACUGGAAUAUUUUGUGAUAUGUAGCUGUCAGAUUCGGGGUUGAAAUGCUUUUUCCUCAUCUAACCCAAAAGCACAUUUGUUAUUUGCGAGUUUGGUGCUACUGAAGACUAGGGUUGGGCAUCAUUUGAAUUUGAACGAUUCCAGUUGUCUUGAAACUAGUUACUUUCCCAAGGAUCACAUAGGAGCAAAUAUUGUGAUUGGUUUAAGGGUAGGGCUGGGUGAUAAAACGAUGAUGAUGUAUAUCAAAAAAUAAAUUUCCAUCGAUAUGAAACAUGGUCAAUAUGCUUUUCGAUAGCCAGCAUCCUGCCAUGUUUUUGUAGACUAUACAAAUAGCCAAUGAAAAGGGGAGUUGCUCCAGGUCUGCUUUGCACUGAACCAAUCGUGCUGAAUUAGAACCAAGUAUCAAACAACUGCGUAGUAGCAGGUAGCAGCUACACGCAACCAUAGCACAGGUAUCUUGGUUUUAUUCGGUCGGACAUUAAGCAGCGUGGUGUGCACUGCAAAUUAUGUCGACUACAUGUUCUCACAAAGUCGGGAAUACCUCAAAUCUUUUCCCCACAUGACGCAGUGCCACGCGGCAAAGCACGCACAAUGCAAAAGUUUACAAACCUCAAGCAGAUUAAGGAGCCCAUGGCGCCUGUGCAGCCGAAACAUCUGACCAUUCAGUUCGCGUUCUCUAGCGCAAAGCCGUACGACAAAAUGUCAAAGAGACACAAAGACCUCACAGAUGCAGUAGCGUAUUGUACUGCAAAAGACAUGCUACCAAUAAAAACUAUUACAUUUCAUUUGAGAGCAACAGGGAACAUUUAAGAUUGGCAAUUGAUUUUUUACAUGGUCAUAUAUAUCAAUAUCGACUGAUAUGAAAAGAUAUAUAUUGAUAGACUUUCCCAUAUGGAGCCCUAAUCAAGGGAGUUUCUUGAGUCAUGAAAUCUACAAGAGGACAAACAAGUGUGUGUGUAACAACAGACAAUGGGGCCAAUGUUGUCAGACUUUUAUGUUUGCGGACAUAUUCAAAAAAUAAAAAACAUGGGGAAAAAUAUCAUUGGGGGGGCAUUGUUAACUUCUGUCCUGUGAAUGUAUGGCAAAUCUGAAUUUGAACACCAAUAAAAAAAACGCUGUUGUUUACAAGCAGCAAUCACUAAUAAUAUUUUGUCCUGUCAUUUUUUUCCACAUCGCAUAAAUAUUGUUAUCACAAAUUGCCUUGAAAUAUCGUGAUAUCAUUAUGAAGCUAUAUCACCCACCAGUAAUAUAAACUCUUAUGAACUUUACCAUGAAUUUCUAACAGGGCUAUUUUCAACCAGUAUAUAAAUAAAAACCUUUGUUGUCAGGUCGUUUGUCUGUGAAAAAGUACACAGGCCAACGUUAGUCGGACAUUCAAGUUGACCCAGAUUCUUGCCACCAAGCACUGUGGUGGAACAGGGUGACAGGAGAUCCACUUUUAGUCAGGAGCAUGCUUUAUUGCAGCAUGCACAGAGCAGGAAGUAAUGAUGGGGUGAGAAGUAUUUUUAUCACUGUCCCUGAGGGAAGCACAAGCUGUGUGUUUCAUCAGCAGUUAUCAUGCAAGCCAGGAAUGCCGAACUGCUGUUUCUUCACCGGGACUCUUGGGAGUCCUGCAGAGCACUGCGCAGGAUUUCAGCUCAACAUUGUCCACAUGGUCCCAGCGAGGCUCAGCAGAGGCUACAGAGGGCACAGUGAGGGAGAUAAAUCCAACUGUGUCAACAUAAGAGAAAAACUGAUAUGACCGCUGAUCGAGGACAUACAGGGGAUCCUUUUCGGUGACCUAGGCAGCUAAGAAACGUGAAUGACCAAGAUUCACAAACACAUUUAUGAAAAACUGAACACACAUCUGGGAGCAGACUGCCUUUGUUUUUAGCUGGUGAUUUUGCGCUGAAUAAGAUAUGAGUGUACAUGUACCUGUCUAUAAUGAUGAAUGAAAAAACCUAACUUGGUCUGAUUACAUGUCAACUUGAUUACAUGAGACCAAUAGGCUAUUAUAAUGGUAAGACGACACAUAGAGACAGUCAAAAUACCUAAUUAAUAACUAAUUUAUUCCUUUAUUUCUCUUCUUUAUUGACUAUCUGACUUUUAUUUCCUCUUAUGUUGUCUUCUGCAGCUAAACAAUGUCCGGUGGUUUGCGGAGUGUGGUGAAAACCUGCAGAUCUCACAUCACCAGCCUUUGGUCCUCUGUGCAGGUGUGCGACCACAUUCCUGUGCUUGUUAUACAUCGCUCCAGACAAGUGACCGUGUGCCAGUUUAACCACAGCCUACAUAAACUUUAUCUCCAUCUGGAUCAAAAUAUUAACAAAACAAGAUGCCAUCUAUCAUCUCUGUUCACAUCCAAGCAGAGCAUUUUGGCAUUUUGUCAGUAGCACCAGCUGGUGGUGAGUGUCUGCACUACAGCUGAGACAAAAUGUUGGACCUGCAGUCAUAAAACUAUCAAUAAUUCGUGGGGCUUUCAAAGGUUUUGGGUUAAUAAUGUCGCAUUAAUGCAAAUACAUUCCAUAAUCUUAAUUAUGCAGCAUAAAUGUCUCUGAUAUGAGCCUAGGUUUAAAGGCUAUAUUUAAUGUGAUGUAACUGUAGUACCAACUAGAAACACUAGACGGGGGUGAUUAUAAGACUACAUUGAUCCAAACCCCCUCUUCAGCCAGUGAACACCUGUGGAGUGGACAUCGAAGUGGUGACAUCAUGUAAAUACCUAGAUGUACAUCUGGAUAAUAAGUUGGACCGGUCUAAGAAUAUAGACUUCAUCUACAGAAAGGGGCAGAGCCGCCUCUUUUGUCUGAGAAGACUCCGAUCAAUAGACAUCUGUAGUAAGAUGCUGCAGAUGUUUUAUCAGUCUGCUGGGAGGGCAGUAUCAAACACAAAGAUGCAAGACGUCUGAACAAACUGGUGAAAAAGGCUGGCUCUGUGGUUGGACUCAAGCUGGACUCAGUGGAGGAUGUGGUGGAGAGAUCUACACUGAGGAAGGUGGAGUCUAUUCUAAAGAACAUGGAUCACCCACAACACCUUGAUGGACCAAAGGACCAAUGGUGGUGGACGGCUCCUCUCUCUUCGCUGCAGGACAGAAAGAUUCAGAAGAUCUUUUGUACCAACAGACAUCAGACUUUAUAAUUCCUCUGUAACUAGUAGAUGAUUUGAGACAUGACACAUGAGACGACAGACAGUUGAAUUUCCCUUCAGGGAUUAAUAAAGUUCUUCUUAUCUAAUUACACCUGCACAAA